GCUCAAGGUCGCUCAGCGAGCCACGGA
rnacentral:sRNA from 1 species